CAAUGUAGACCAUUGAUUAAAAUAUUCUAUGGUCCAGAUUCAUUCAAUCUGUGCUUCUUCCUCUCUCUUUUUCUUCUCUUUUGUUUCUACUUUUCUUUAGUUUCCUUCCUAAUCUCACAGACCUAAUAUUUUCGUUGGUUCCUAAUCUCACAGUUCUCGUGUCUCUGAUCUCUUUCUUUAUCAACACCAAACCUCGCCGUCGUCUCCACCAAGCUCGUCGUCGUCACCACCAGACCUUGCCAUCGUCUCCACCACCGCUCGUCAGCGUCACCACCAGACCUGGCCGUCGUCUCCACCACCGCUGGUCGUCGUCACCACCAUUGCUUCGCCCAUUGAGGCGAGGACGAUAAAGAUCUUUUGACAUCCUCACAACCACUACAUAUCUAAGAGGGUCCUGGGAAGGAGAAGCAUUGGUGUGUCAGAGAACAAGAGGCUUGACUAUUGAGGAGGCAAGGCGUGGUUGCAGUGGUGGUGGUGCGGCGAAGAGAACAUGGCGCUUAGGGUUUAGAUGCGACGGUGGUAGUUUUGUUGUUGUUGUCGUGAGCUUGAAGACAGAGGAGGUACGUCGCGGUGGUGGUGUGAUGCGGCGGAUGAUGAUGAUGUUUAGAUUUACCCUUAGGUUUUUUGGUUUUGGUUUUGGUUUAGUGAUUCUUUUAACCUGGUUAAGUUUGGAUUUAGAUUUAUUUAUUUUGGCUUAGUGUUAUACAUCAUUUUUUGUAAAGUAUUAAUAAAAGUUAUUAUAUUU